GAUAAAGCAAAAAUGGAGAAGAAAAGCAACUGUAUGGUCUGUGUUACAGGAGGUGCAGGUUCUUCUCUUGUAAAGAAACUUUUGGAUAGAGGUUAUACCGUUCACGCUAUCCUCAGGAACUUAGGUGUCAUAUGAAACAGUACAAAAAUAAAACUGAGGCUUCAGUUGCUGCAGUGAAGAGAAUUGGAAUGGCUUGCCUUAAAUCUGGGACAGUAAAAAAGCUUAUCUAUACUGCCUCUGUGGUUGCUGCUUCUCCAUUGAAGGAUGAUGGGUCCGGUUUCAACGAUUUGAUGGAUGAAAUGUGUUGGACACCUUUCAAUUUCUCAAAUCCUUAUGCCGAUCAGGGGCUUAGGGGGCUUCUCAAUGCAUAGAAAUGGACCACAAGUUACCCAUCUAGCUUAUGCUAAUGAUGUAAUGAUCUUUACUUCUGGAUCCAGGGCUUUUUAAAACUUGGUUAUGCAAUAACUUAGUAAUUAUGAAAGAUAUUCUGGUCAAUCUAUUAAUUAUGAUAAGAGUUAUUUCUUGGUUGCUUCCAAUGCUGGCUCGGAAUAUAUUGCAAAAAUCAAGAACAUCACUAGCUUUAGGAAUACUCAGUUUCCUAUUACCUAUAUUAGUUGUCCUCUCUAUGUAGGAAGGAAAAAAUAAUAUAUUUUAAUGAAUCAGUAGCCAAGAAUGUUAGGAAGACUAAUGGAUGGCAAGGCAAAUUAUUAUCUAUAGGAGGGAGAGCUGUCCUGAUUAAACAUGUACUUCAGUUUCAAUCUUUACAUCUUCUUGCUGCUCUGGCCCCUCCAAAAACUAUUUUCAAGUAAAUUGAAAGAUACAUGGCUAGAUUCUAUUGGAGAACUUCAUAUGGAAAACAAAGAUAUCAUUGGAGCUCAUGGAGCAAUAUGUGUUACCCAAAGGAGGAAGGGGGCAUGAGAUUCAGAAGUCUAAUAGAUAUAAGCAAUUCUUUCUCUAUGAAGAGGUGGUGGAGAUUCAGAACUACGUACUAAAUCUCUAUGGCAGAAUUUUUGAUAGUCAAAUAUUGCAGUAGAAUACAUCCUAUAAAGAAGAAAAAGAAUAAUAAAGACUCUCACUAUUGGAAAAAUUUAUUGGACAUAAGGGAUCAAAGAGAGAAACAUAUUUUCUGGAGAUGCAAUGAAGGAAAUAUUAUUCUUUGGUGGGAUAACUGGUUGGGCAUUGGUGCCCUUGCUAAUACUGUCCAACUUGAACCUCAUGACAUGAGGAAGAUCAAACAUGUUAGAAUAGGAACCUCUCUACAAUUUGAGGAACUUCAACAACUUGCUGAAUAUUUGAUAGAGAUUAUUCAGUGUUUUAAGCUUGGGGAUCCUAAUUUUCCUGAUAAAGCUGUGUGGACUCCCUCUUCAACUGGUUCUUCUCUUCCUCAUCAGCGUGGCAGAUUGUAAGGCAAUCAAGAGAAUUUACACCAGUACUCAAGGAAUUAUGGCACAAAUUUCUACCAUAUAACAUGUCAUUUUUAAUGUGGAGAGUGCUAAAAAGGAAACUAUCUUUUGAUGAUAUUAUUAUUCGGUUUGGACAGCAACUUGCAUCUAGAUGCGAAUGUUGUAGGACAUCACGAGACCAUGCACCACACCUUUGUCAAUGGUGAGAGGGCUAAGAUAAUUUGGAGGCAAUUUGGAGCUCCUUUCGGGUUUAGAUGGGAAGAUAAGCCUAUUCUCAAUAUCCUUCAAAGCUGGUGGAGUCUCAAGGCCAAAAAUAAAGUAGUGCAUGUCAUCAACAAGAUGACUCCUAUUAUUAUUUGUUGGGAACUUUGGAAAGUUAGAUGUGCAUCGAGAUAUGGUGGCAUUAAGAUAUCAUCUUCUAGAUCUCAUUUUCAGGUUCUUUCUCAUCAGAGGUGGGUGAUUUACAAGCACAAUAUUCAUGUUGAAGGGGUUGUUCAAUGGCAUGGAAUAUGUGACAGGUUAUUGUCGUUAACUGCCAAAAUUAUUUGUUUUCCGGUAACAUGGGAAAAAUAUUUAUUUGGUUGGACUAAGCUUAAUGCAGAUGGAAGUAAACAGGAUAAUGACCUCAUUGGUGCUGGUAGUAUUUUAAGAGAUCAUAGAGGUGAUAUGAUCAAGGUUUUUUCUCAAAAGUUGGGGAGCGGGACUAGCAAUUUGGCAGAGGCUUAGUCUGCAUUGAUUCGCUUACAAUGGUGCCACUCUAAUGGAUACGAUAGGGUUAUCUUGGAAUGUGACUCUAAAUUAGUUGUGGAUAUAUUGAAUAAUACCAUCACUCCUCCCUGGCACAUUGAGGUUAUUAUCAUGGAAGCUCAACACCUAAUACACCAACAUAACAUUGUUAUUAGACAGUGUUAUAGAGAAGCUAAUAAUGUCGCAGACGUAUUGGCAAAAUGGAGUCAUGAAAUUCAAGAGAGUAUGUUAUUCAACUAUGUGAAUCUUCCAAGACAAGGAUAUGAGGCAGGUUCCAAACUUGAGGCACAAAAUUUUCAAGAAUCAUUUUCUACGGAAUGUAAUCACAUAGCCUCGGGCAUCAUUUUCUCCAGAAACCAAUUACACGGCCUCAAGCUUUGAUAUUCUUGUUAUCCCUUUAUUAUGUGUUGUAUUAGAUUUUCUGUAAUAGUUUCUUUUGGGAGUUAGCACAUAUGACAGACCAAUAAGAAACUCUUUUGGAUCGUCUGUUAUCUUAUUUCUCUUUAUGUAUUAUUACUCUUGGGAGGUUUUGGUUUUAUGUCCCUCCUCCUUUGUACUCUACUUUUUGCUAUUUAAUAAAUAAGGCAGGGGUCAAUGUCGAACCUCCCAUCAUCA